rnacentral:rRNA from 1 species
UACAGAGGGUGCGAGCGUUAAUCGGAAUUACUGGGCGUAAAGCGUGCGUAGACGGCUAUCUAAGUCGGGUGUGAAAGCCCCGGGCUCAACCUGGGAAUUGCAUUCGAGACUGAAUAGCUAGGGUACGGUAGAGGGAAGUGGAAUUUCCGGUGUAGCGGUGAAAUGCGUAGAUAUCGGAAGGGACAUCAGUGGCGAAAGCGACUUCCUGGACCAGUACCGACGUUCAGGCACGAAAGCGUGGGGAGCAAACAGG